AUUGGAAUAAUCAUGGAAUUACUAUGUAAUAAAGGUCUGUUUGGAAUCGGGCGAGUUUUUCGGUAGCGGGUAGCGGUUCUGUUGUGGGUCGGAGCUGCGCGUUUUUCUGAAGGGGUAAAAGGACGGUUUUACCUUUAAUAUUUGAAGGGUAUUUGUGGAAUUUCGUUGAGCUCUAAACCCUAAUUCUCUUCUCUCUUCUGUAC
rnacentral:lncRNA from 1 species